UCGGGAAUUUUGGGCAAUGGGCGCAAGCCUGACCCAGCAACGCCGCGUGAGGGAUGAAGGCCCUCGGGUCGUAAACCUCUGUCGGGAGGGAAGAAUGUUCGCGGGGCAAAUAGUCUCGUGGGCUGACGGUACCUCCAAAGGAAGCACCGGCUAACUCCGUGCCAGCAGCCGCGGUAAUACGGAGGGUGCAAGCGUUGUUCGGAAUCAUUGGGCGUAAAGCGCGUGUAGGCGGCUUGGCAAGUCGGGUGUGAAAGCCCGGGGCCCAACCCCGGAAUUGCACUCGAAACUGCCUCGCUAGAGUCCCGGAGGGGAAGGCGGAAUUCCCGGUGUAGAGGUGAAAUUCGUAGAUAUCGGGAGGAACACCAGCGGCGAAGGCGGCCUUCUGGACGGUGACUGACGCUGAGACGCGAAAGCGUGGGGAGCAAACAGGAUUAGAUACCCCCGUAGUCC
rnacentral:rRNA from 1 species